GGUAUUCACCAUGAAACUGAAUAUUAAAUAAUAUUUCUGUUAAUAAUUUUCCAUGUAAUAACAGAAGUCCUACAUUUGACGAGACUGUGGAUGAUCUGCUGUUGUCCCUGCACUCAGUGUCUGCUGUGAACAAGGUGCAAUUGACGACCGACAGCCUGACUGAGAACUUGGCUGCAAAGAUCCUCUCUAUGUGUCACACAUGUCCCAGUCUCCAUAACAUCUGUUUGCAGGUGGAGUACAGUAAGAGAUACAGUGAGCUCAAUGUGUGUUCCUCUCUCAGCAUCACCAGAAACACAGACUCCACCUUGACAGUCGACAUUCAGUUGGCCCGUGACAGCAUGACUGAAAUAUCUCCAUCAUUCAUUUCAUUCAUAUCACCAUGUUCAGAGAUUCCUAAACUGGAUGGAAGGGAACUCUUUGAAACUCUUGACAUCCUUAAAGGUUUAGAAGAAGGAUGUGAAGAGCAUGAAGAGCUUGUGGGUGAUUUGAUGUCCACCUUGCUCUCCGUUCCUGGUCUGCAGAAGGUCAGACUCAAGAUCAGCAAUCUAACAGAGAACUGGGUGAAGAGGAGUCUGUCCUUAACUGAAGUCUGUCCCAGUCUUCAGGAGAUCAGAUAUGACUUCAUAAAAAGUGGUGGCUUGUUGUUGGAGGAUGUUGUGAGGAUUCUACAGAGCUCUCAGACCACAGGAAUUAAGUGCAGUAACGCAACAGAUGGGUGCACUGAAAUGGACACAUCCAGAUCAUCAUCUGCCUGCAAUGAGAAUCUGAAAAUCACUUUCUGCAAGAACUCUCUUUCAAGACUAUUCACAACACAUGAAAUUGACGAAGAUGACAACAACAACACUGAGGAUGAUGAAGACUUUUUCCUGCUUUAGGAAGGACUGUUGAAUACUGUUUUAUCAAAAACAUUGACAAACUUACUACAAU
rnacentral:lncRNA from 1 species